rnacentral:rRNA from 1 species
AGUGUAUACCAUACCACCCUGGACAUGCCUGAUCUUGCCUGAUCUCGGGAGCUAAGCAGGGUCAGGCCUGGUUAGUACUCGGACAGGAGACAUUU